UACAGAGGGUGCGAGCGUUAAUCGGAAUUACUGGGCGUAAAGCGUGCGUAGACGGUAGCGUAAGUCAGAUGUGAAAGCCCCGGGCUCAACCUGGGAACUGCAUUUGAGACUGCUCUGCUCGGGUGCGGAAGAGGGAAGCGGAAUUUCCGGUGUAGCGGUGAAAUGCGUAGAUAUCGGAAAGGAACACCAGUGGCGAAAGCGGCUUCCUGGUCCGACACCGAAGCGUUCAGGCAGCGAAAGCGUGGGGAGCAAACAGG
rnacentral:rRNA from 1 species